UUGUAUUCUAUAAAAAACAAAAUGUGCAUCCACUGAAUCAAUUGAUUCUUAUUUUGAUUUUGAGAAUGCCUAUAUAUAGGCUGAGGCUGCUCGAAUGAGAAAUAUAACACUCAAAAGGUCUUAUUUUUCCAUCUUCUUCCCUUAAGCUAAUGUAGGGAUGGGUAGUUAGUCAAGAUGUGCAAAGUUUAAUGGAGGGAUUGAAUCAAGAGUCUUGACUUCAUCCACUAUAUUAUGGUGGAGGCACAACCAAAGCAGCUCUGUG
rnacentral:lncRNA from 1 species